rnacentral:lncRNA from 1 species
ACAGUAAAAACGUGCAGAUGUUAGAAGCAAAUGGGCACGUAUACUACAUGAAAAGUCUGCAUGUUUUGAUUAGAAGUGAUGCAAUUUAUUUAUUUCCCAGAGGUAAGAAAAACUACCCUUUAUUUUUAUAGCACAAAUGGUGCGUUUCUAGAGGUUGCAGAGUCCCUGUACUGAUCCUAAAAUGAUAUUCUGUAUCUAUGAGUUAAAACACGUUAAUCAUACUCCCAUUUAUAAUCUCUGUGUAACUAUCAUAACCAAUGCUACAGAAUAUCAAUAAAUGUCCUCGGAGCCAUACAUCAACAUCACAGUGGUGUAAAUCCAUUAUAAUUCUUGUGGUUUUGCACUGCUCUGGGGUCACUGAGAUCAGCACCUUUCAGUGAUUUUCCCCCCCUCUUUACCCUUUGACUAUUAGUGGAAGCUUUUGUUGCCAUCUCCAGCUGUUUGAAGAGCAACAGGUAAUAAAGAACACGUAAGAAAUAAUUUCUACCUCCAUCUAGUAACCUGACAAGCUUUUGCUUAAAAGGCAGAAGCUUUUAAAGAAUAUUUAUAUCCUUCACAGGUUUUGCUGCUGUAUUUCCCAAUAGCACACUUUUAAACAAAUGGAGCUUUACCUACCAGGCUUGGAGUCCCUGUUACCAAGUCCUUGUCAAAAAGAUUUUAUGUGUUUUUUUAAAAAGAUUUUAUCUGAUAACUGCUUUAUGGUAUGCUUCAGGAAAACAUUUAAUAAAUAAGAAGGAGCCACGAUUAAAAGGCAAAGGAAUAGCCUUCACUCAGAAAAAUCUUGGAGAUAUAUAUAUAUUUUUUUUUCAGUGGAGGAGAAGGGGAACAAUUUACUAAUAUAUUUAAAAACCUGAACUGCUUUUCUACUAUUAUUUGCUGUUUUUGCGUUCAACUUGCAGUGAGGUCUAUAACAGAAGGUGUAACUGGCUGAACCUCACGACUCUCCUACUUCUACUCCCCAAGACUUGUUGCAGUUGUCAGCAGCAAGCCGGGCUGGUUACGGGCACUGCACCCACUGAAGAUCUCUGCUCCGUCGUGCCUGUGCAUCCAUCACUCCGGCAGGACGGGAUCUUGUGUGUGGGCUGCUCAGAGGUCGUGGUCAGGCACUGUUCAGUGCUCCGACAGCAAGACCAGACAGUGUUAAUACAGAAAGUAUCAUGUUUUUCUCUGGAGCUGUGGUGCCCAACUCCAGCAACAGUCAUACGACAUCAGGACAGCAACUAUACACCCCUCGCAGAAGUUUACAGAAAACAAAAUAAGCAGAGAAGACAUGGUAAGUUUACUAUUUUUUCAUUUCUCCAUCUAAGCAGUCACACAGUGACACUGAGUAUAUCUUACAGUACAGAAAAUACGACAAGGUUCAGUUGUUUCACAUCUUCCAGGUUGUGUUUUUCCCUGUCCCCUAAGACUAAUUAUAGGGGUUGCCAAGUACCGUAA